rnacentral:rRNA from 1 species
AUUGAACGCUGGCGGCAUGCUUUACACAUGCAAGUCGUACGGUAACAGGCCUUCGGGUGCUGACGAGUGGCGAACGGGUGAGUAAUGCAUCGGAACGUACCCAGAGGUGGGGGAUAACGCAGCGAAAGCUGUGCUAAUACUGCAUGUGAUCUGAGGAUGAAAGCGGGGGACCGAGCAGCAAUGUUUGGCCUCGCGCCUUUGGAGCGGCCGAUGUCGGAUUAGCUAGUUGGUGGGGUAAAGGCCUACCAAGGCGACGAUCCGUAGCUGGUCUGAGAGGACGACCAGCCACACUGGGACUGAGACACGGCCCAGACUCCUACGGGAGGCAGCAGUGGGGAAUUUUGGACAAUGGGCGCAAGCCUGAUCCAGCAAUGCCGCGUGCGGGAAGAAGGCCUUCGGGUUGUAAACCGCUUUUGGCAGGAACGAAACGGUGUCCGCUAAUACCGGGCGCUAAUGACGGUACCUGCAGAAUAAGCACCGGCUAACUACGUG